UCACUCAGGAUGAAUGCUGGCGGCGUGCUUAACACAUGCAAGUCGAACGAUGAAGCCCAGCUUGCUGGGUGGAUUAGUGGCGAACGGGUGAGUAACACGUGAGUAACCUGCCCUUGACUCUGGGAUAAGCCUGGGAAACUGGGUCUAAUACUGGAUAUGACUUCUCACCGCAUGGUGGGGGGUGGAAAGAUUUAUUGGUCUUGGAUGGACUCGCGGCCUAUCAGCUUGUUGGUGAGGUAAUGGCUCACCAAGGCGACGACGGGUAGCCGGCCUGAGAGGGUGACCGGCCACACUGGGACUGAGACACGGCCCAGACUCCUACGGGAGGCAGCAGUGGGGAAUAUUGCACAAUGGGCGCAAGCCUGAUGCAGCGACGCCGCGUGAGGGAUGACGGCCUUCGGGUUGUAAACCUCUUUCAGUAGGGAAGAAGCGAAAGUGACGGUACCUGCAGAAGAAGCGCCGGCUAACUACGUGCCAGCAGCCGCGGUAAUACGUAGGGCGCGAGCGUUAUCCGGAAUUAUUGGGCGUAAAGAGCUCGUAGGCGGUUUGUCGCGUCUGCCGUGAAAGUCCGGGGCUUAACCCCGGAUCUGCGGUGGGUACGGGCAGACUAGAGUGCAGUAGGGGAGACUGGAAUUCCUGGUGUAGCGGUGAAAUGCGCAGAUAUCAGGAGGAACACCGAUGGCGAAGGCAGGUCUCUGGGCUGUAACUGACGCUGAGGAGCGAAAGCAUGGGGAGCGAACAGGAUUAGAUACCCUGGUAGUCCAUGCCGUAAACGUUGGGCACUAGGUGUGGGGGACAUUCCACGUUUUCCGCGCCGUAGCUAACGCAUUAAGUGCCCCGCCUGAGACGCGACUUGU
rnacentral:rRNA from 2 species